rnacentral:snoRNA from 1 species
GUGAUAUCUUAUAACGUUGUGUGUUUUUAUUCAUAAAUAGCGAGAUAUUAAAUAAAUUCUCCAUAAAACUCGCGUGUCAGAAAUGGUAUUUAUAUGGCAUACGUAUCCUGUCUGGAGAAACAAUG